GCGAGUAUGGCCCUCACGGGUCUUAAUCCACCAUAAACACCUUUGUGAACCAGUCAGGGGGACUCGGCCGUGAAAGCCCAGGCGAUUAGCGGAAGGGCCCUCCUUUGCAAACCCGUUUAGAAGUCUUGAAAGUACUUUUGUAUAAUCUAGUA
rnacentral:misc_RNA from 1 species